AGCCAGGGCUCCCGAGGUCUGACUGCCCCACCUCCUGCCCUCAGCAGAGAAGCCUGUGUUCUUCCCAGCCUUCGCAGCCGAGGCCCAGAAGCUGCCUGGGGACCCCCCUUGCUGGACUUCCGGCCUGCCCUUCCCCGUGCCCCCCCGUGAGGUGAUCAAGUCCUCCCCACAUGCCCCGGACCCCUCAGCCUUCUCCUACGCUCCACCUGGUCACCCGCUGCCCCUGGGCCUCCAUGACACUGCCCGGCCCGUCCUGCCACGCCCGCCCACCAUCUCCAACCCACCUCCCCUCAUCUCCUCUGCCAAGCACCCCAGCGUCCUCGAGAGGCAAAUAGGUGCCAUCUCCCAGGGAAUGUCGGUCCAGCUCCACGUCCCGUACUCAGAGCAUGCCAAGGCUCCGGUGGGCCCUGUCACCAUGGGGCUGCCCCUGCCCAUGGACCCCAAAAAGCUGG
rnacentral:sRNA from 1 species